rnacentral:rRNA from 1 species
UACGUAGGGGGCGAGCGUUGUCCGGAUUCAUUGGGCGUAAAGCGCGCGUAGGCGGCCCCGCAAGUCGGCCGUGAAAUCUCCGGGCUCAACUCGGAGGGGUCGGGCGAGACUGCGCGGCUCGAGGUGGGCAGAGGGCAGUGGAAUUCCGGGUGUAGUGGUGGAAUGCGUAGAGAUCCGGAGGAACACCAGUGGCGAAGGCGGCUGCCUGGGCCUGGCCUGACGCUGAGGAGCGAAAGCGUGGGGAGCGAACAGG